rnacentral:rRNA from 1 species
AGUGAACGCUGGCGGUAGGCCUAACACAUGCAAGUCGAACGGCAGCACAGUAAGAGCUUGCUCUUACGGGUGGCGAGUGGCGGACGGGGGGGGAAUACAUCGAAAUUUACUUUUUCUGGGGGGUUAAGGUGGUGAAACUUACGUUAUUCCCCCUACGAACUUACGGGGAAAAGCAGGGGAUCUCCGACCUUUGCGCGAUGGAUGAGCCGGUUGCGGGAUUAGUUAGUUGGCGGGGUAAAGGCCCACCAAGGCGACGAUCCGUAGCUGGUCUGAGAGGAUGAUCAGCCACACUGGAACUGAGACACGGUCCAGACUCCUACGGGAGGCAGCAGUGGGGAAUAUUGGACAAUGGGCGCAAGCCUGAUCCAGCCAUACCGCGUGGGUGAAGAAGGCCUUCGGGUUGUAAAGCCCUUUUGUUGGGAAAGAAAAGCAGCAGGUUAAUACCCCGCUGUUCUGACGGUACCCAAAGGAUAAGCACCGGCUAACUUCGUG